CUAGAGGUGAACCUGCCUCAGAUGUGCUCCUGGGCUGGUGCCUGGCUUUUCUUGGCUGACCUUGGAGUUGCUGUUCUGUAGCAUCCAGCUUACAGCAGCUUCAGCCAUGCUUUUCCCUUAGAGAAGACUCUGGGCUCGGAUCUGCGUUUUGUAAGAGUACUGACAGGCUUGUUAUGCUGUAUUCCAUGGGAUGGCUCUUGGUGAUGAUGAACCCAUGAUGAUGAUGUUGGUGAACCCUGCAUGUGUGUGAUGAACAUCUUCCUUUGUGCCACACGAUGACAGCAUCUUCGAUGGGGAGAGCAAGCCACAGGCAGAAAAUGCACUCCACCUCCUCUCUAUCCAAAGCUUAGCUGCAGUGAAUAAGGGGAGACGCCCCCCAUUGCCGAGCAGGGCCCGGAGCUGAGAGCGGCCCUCGGGGACCCGCACAGCCGAGAGGAGCAGCAGCGGCCCUGCCCUCCCUUCAUGCCGCCAUUGGCGCCGCUG